rnacentral:rRNA from 1 species
GACGAACGCUGGCGGCGUGCCUAAUACAUGCAAGUCGAGCGGACCGAAGGGAGCUUGCUCCUUUAGGUUAGCGGCGGACGGGUGAGUAACACGUGGGCAACCUGCCCUGCAGACUGGGAUAACUUCGGGAAACCGGAGCUAAUACCGGAUAAGAAAGCAGAUCGCAUGAUCAGCUUUUAAAAGGCGGCGUAAGCUGUCGCUAUGGGAUGGCCCCGCGGUGCAUUAGCUAGUUGGUAGGUAAAGGCUUACCAAGGCGAUGAUGCAUAGCCGAGUUGAGAGACUGAUCGGCCACAUUGGGACUGAGACACGGCCCAA